GGAAACUAGUGAUGGCUUGGGGAAGUAAAUUCCUAAACUUAGGGUUACAACCUUCUGGGGGAAAAAAACCUGUUAAGCUUGGCAUAUGCUCAAACAUGGCGGCUCUUUUCACAUCUAGUUACCUUUGUCCAUAACUUUGCUUUAUUCUUGUGUACCUUGAGAAUCGUUAAAUUUAGUUAGCUGGUUUUUAAAUUACUUUGGUGUUUUGUGAUCCACGCUACUUUUCUUUACCAGAUUUGAUAUGCUGGGCGUGGUGGCUCACGCCUGCAAAUCCAGCGCCUCCAAUGACUGAGGCAAGAGAAGUGCAAGUGAGUUUCUAACUCAAAAAAGACUGGGUAGAUAACUGAGUGGUGAGCGCCUCUGGGUUCAAUUACCGGUACCAAAAAAGAGUUAAUUUGCUGUAACUCUUAGUAUGCUGUGCGCCCGUUAAUUUUCUGUCUUGUUCUUUCAUUACCUUGUAAGCUCAGUACCUGACACUGUAGAAGAUGAAAUUUGGUUGCAUUUAAACUUGAAGUUUAA
rnacentral:lncRNA from 1 species